rnacentral:rRNA from 1 species
AUUGAACGCUGGCGGCAGGCCUAACACAUGCAAGUCGAGCGGAUGCAGCGGGCUUGCUCCUGGAUUCAGCGGCGGACGGGUGAGUAAUGCCUAGGAAUCUGCCUGGUAGUGGGGGAUAACGUCCGGAAACGGGCGCUAAUACCGCAUACGUCCUGUGGUAGACAGUGGGGGAUCUUCGGUCCUCACGCUAUCAUAUUAGCCUAGGUCGGAUCAGCUAGUUCGUGGGGUAACGGCCUAACAAGGCGAGGAGGCUUAACUGGUCUGAAGGGAUGAUCCGUUACCUUGUCACUGAGAAACGGCCCAGACUCUGACAGGAGGAAGCGGUCGGGAAUAUUAGACGAGGGGCGAGUGGCGGAUACAGGCAUGCCGCGUGUGGGAAGAAGGACCACGGAUGGGAGAGCAAUGUAAGUUGGGAGGAAGGACAGUAAGUUAAUACCUGACUGUUUUGACGGUACCGACAGAAUAAGCACCGGCUAACUUCGUG